AGCGAACGCUGGCGGCAGGCCUAACACAUGCAAGUCGAACGAACUCUUCGGAGUUAGUGGCGGACGGGUGAGUAACACGUGGGAACGUGCCUUUUGGUUCGGAAUAACUCAGGGAAACUUGUGCUAAUACCGAAUGUGCCCUUCGGGGGAAGAUUUAUCGCCAUUAGAGCGGCCCGCGUCUGAUUAGCUAGUUGGUGAGGUAACGGCUCACCAAGGCGACGAUCAGUAGCUGGUCUGAGAGGAUGACCAGCCACACUGGGACUGAGACACGGCCCAGACUCCUGCGGGAGGCAGCAGUGGGGAAUCUUGCGCAAUGGGCGAAAGCCUGACGCAGCCAUGCCGCGUGAAUGAUGAAGGUCUUAGGAUUGUAAAAUUCUUUCACCGGGGACGAUAAUGACGGUACCCGGAGAAGAAGCCCCGGCUAACUUCGUG
rnacentral:rRNA from 1 species